rnacentral:rRNA from 1 species
AGUGAACGCUGGCGGUAGGCCUAACACAUGCAAGUCGAACGGCAGCACAGUAAGAGCUUGCUCUUACGGGUGGCGAGUGGCGGACGGGUGAGGAAUACAUCGGAAUCUACUUUUUCGUGGGGGAUAACGUAGGGAAACUUACGCUAAUACCGCAUACGACCUACGGGUGAAAGCAGGGGAUCUUCGGACCUUGCGCGAUUGAAUGAGCCGAUGUCGGAUUAGCUAGUUGGCGGGGUAAAGGCCCACCAAGGCGACGAUCCGUAUCUGGUCUGAGAGGAUGAUCAGCCACACUGGAACUGAGACACGGUCCAGACUCCUACGGGAGGCAGCAGUGGGGAAUAUUGGACAAUGGGCGCGAGCCUGAUCCAGCCAUACCGCGUGGGUGAAGAAGGCCUUCGGGUUGUAAAGCCCUUUUGUUGGGAAAGAAAAGCAGCAGGUUAAUACCCCGCUGUUCUGACGGUACCCAAAGAAUAAGCACCGGCUAACUUCGUG